GAUGAACGCUGGCGGCGUGCUUAACACAUGCAAGUCGAACGAUGAAGCCCAGCUUGCUGGGUGGAUUAGUGGCGAACGGGUGAGUAACACGUGAGUAACCUGCCCUUAACUCUGGGAUAAGCCUGGGAAACUGGGUCUAAUACCGGAUAGGAGCGUCCACCGCAUGGUGGGUGUUGGAAAGAUUUAUCGGUUUUGGAUGGACUCGCGGCCUAUCAGCUUGUUGGUGAGGUAAUGGCUCACCAAGGCGACGACGGGUAGCCGGCCUGAGAGGGUGACCGGCCACACUGGGACUGAGACACGGCCCAGACUCCUACGGGAGGCAGCAGUGGGGAAUAUUGCACAAUGGGCGCAAGCCUGAUGCAGCGAUGCCGCGUGAGGGAUGACGGCCUUCGGGUUGUAAACCUCUUUCAGUAGGGAAGAAGCGAAAGUGACGGUACCUGCAGAAGAAGCACCGGCUAACUACGUG
rnacentral:rRNA from 1 species